rnacentral:lncRNA from 1 species
CGCCAACCCCCGACCGCGCUGGCAGGUUCGGGUUACCGGGCGGCGGUGAUUUCAGAGAUCUGGCACCCCGGGUCGCCCUUCCACCUUCUCAGAGAAUCCAGGGGGUCUGAAGGAAAACAAAAACCCGGGGCUCGAGCAGGCAGGGAUGGGGCCAAGCCGGGCCCGGCCGAGGCCGAGAGACCCGGGGCAAGGGCGCCCUCCAUGCCGGCUCGCGGACACCCGGCGUCCCGGGCCUGCCCGAGGAAGGCUCAGGUAGCGAGUGGCGGGCGGCGUCCAGGGCAACAGGUCGAACCAGACCCGCGGCCUCCACGAGCGACAGAGCGGUCCCCGGAACCUCCCCUCCAGAGCUGAGGAGGGGACGCGGGCUCCUCAGAGAGCCGCUCCCGAGGCGGCGCAGGGGCAAGGAGUCCACGCUCCAUCUUGAGGCGGCGGGAGGAAGGCAAGGCCCGGGCCGCGGCUGGCAGGGCCGGACGCGCGCCGCUCGCAGCCAGCCUUCCUCACAGCCGCGCUCUCCUCGUGCCCUCCACCCUCACGGGUGCGUCCGCGUCUCUUCAGCCGCGGACCCGGUGCGUGGCGGGAGCUCGAGACGAGCUCCCCUCCCAGCGUCCCCCGGACCCCGGCGGCGGGAAGGAGCGGAGGGAGAGGAAGGGUGGGACGGCGAGGAAGGGGAGAUCAGGCCCGCGCUUCGCUCACCGCCUGAGACGCCGUCGGUCGCCGUCACCUGCCUCCCAGUAGCAGCAGCAGCAGCAGCAGCCGCCGCGGCCG